CAAUCCCAGUGACUCCCAGUCAAUCCCAGUGACUCCCAGGUUAACGUAGGUUCAUCCCAGUGACUCCCAGUCCAUCCCAGUCCAUCCCAGUUCAAUCCCAGUUACUCCCAGUUGAUCCCAGGUCAGUCCCAGUGACUCCCAGGUUACUCCCAGUCAAUCCCAGUUCAAUCCCAGUCAAUCAUAGACCAAUCCCAGUUCAAUCCCAGUUCAUUACGGUCAAUCCUAGGUUAAUGUAGGUUAUUCCCAGUGACUCCCAGUACAUCCCAGUUCAAUCCCAGUUACUCCCACUCAAUCCCAGUUCAGUUCCAGUGACUCCCAGGUUACUCCCAGUCAAUCCCAGUCAAUCAUAGAUCAAUCCCAGUCGAUCCCAGUCCAUCCCAGUUCAAUAUCAGUUCAAUCCCAGUGACUCCCAGGUUACUUCCAGUCAA